AGUAAUGUCUGGGAAACUGCCUGAUGGAGGGGGAUAACUACUGGAAACGGUAGCUAAUACCGCAUAACGUCGCAGGACCAAAGUGGGGGACCUUCGGGCCUCAUGCCAUCAGAUGUGCCCAGAUGGGAUUAGCUAGUAGGUGGGGUAACGGCUCACCUAGGCGACGAUCCCUAGCUGGUCUGAGAGGAUGACCAGCCACACUGGAACUGAGACACGGUCCAG
rnacentral:rRNA from 1 species